rnacentral:rRNA from 1 species
CGGUAAUUCCAGCUCCAAUAGCGUAUACUAAAGUUGUUGCAGUUAAAAAGCUCGUAGUUGGAUUUCUGCGGGGACGGAGCGGCCGGUCGCAACUUGCGACUCGAGCUAGCGCUUUCCCCGCAUCCUGCCGCGAACCGUGCUACCAUUAGCUUGGUGGCGCUGGGGAUCGGCUCGAUUACUUUGAGAAAAAUAGAGUGUUCAAAGCAGGCCACACGCCUUGAAUAAGUUAGCAUGGAAUAAUGACUAAGGACUUCGGUUCUAUUUUGUUGGUGUUCGGGACUGAAGUAAUGAUUGAUAGGGACAGUUGGGGCGGUCUGUAUUCCAAAGCGAGAGGUGAAAUUCUUAGACCUUCAGAAGACAAACAGCUGCGAAAGCGCUCCGCAAGGAUGUUCCCUUUGAUCAAGAACGAAAGUUGGGGGAUCGAAGACGAUCAGAUACCGUCGUAGUCUCAACUAUAAACUAUACCAGCUAGGGAUCGGUCAACGUUUAAUCAUUCGACUUGAUCAGCACCUUAUGAGAAAUCAAAGCAUCUGGGUUCCGGGGGGAGUAUGGUCGCAAGGCUGAAACUUAAAGGAAUUGACGGAAGGGCACCACCAGCCGUGGAGCCUGUGGCUUAAUUUGACUCAACACGGGAAAACUUACCAGGUCCAGACAUAGUAAGGAUUGACAGAUUGAUAGCUCUUUCUUGAUUCUGUGGGUGGUGGUGCAUGGCCGUUCUUAGUUGGUGGAGUGAUUUGUCUGGUUAAUUCCGUUAACGAACGAGACCCCAGCCUGCUAAAUAGCGCGGCUGAGCUUUGCUCGGUGCGAGCUUCUUAGAGGGACUAUGAUGCGCGAUAGCACAUGGAAGUUUGGGGCAAUAACAGGUCUGUGAUGCCCUUAGAUGUUCUGGGCCGCACACGGGCUACACUGGCGCCUGCAACGAGCAUAUCAGCUGGCCCGAGAGGGUCUUGGCUAAUCUUUUGAACCGGCGCCGUGCUUGGGAUUGACCAUUGCAAUUGUUGGUCAUGCAACGAGGAAUGCCUUGUAAACGCGAGUCAUCAGCUCGCAUUGAAUACGUCCCUGCCCUUUGUACACACCGCCCGUCGCUCCUACCGAUGAAUGUUCCGAUGAAAUUUUCGGAGAGCGCCAGAGAACGGGGCUCCGCCUUGCAGAUCUGGAGGCUCAAAGUCACUUAAAUCUGAACAUUUCGAGGAAGGAGAAGUCGUAACAAGGUAACC